CACGUAGGGCGCGAGCGUUGUCCGGAAUUACUGGGCGUAAAGCGUGCGUAGACGGUAGCGUAAGUCAGAUGUGAAAGCCCCGGGCUCAACCUGGGAACUGCAUUCGAGACUGCUCUGCUAGGGUGCGGAAGAGGGGAGCGGAAUUUCCGGUGUAGCGGUGAAAUGCGUAGAUAUCCAUAGGAACUCCGGUGGCGAAGGCGGCGUGCUGGACCCUUUCUGACGCUGAGGCGCGAAAGCCAGGGGAGCAAACGGG
rnacentral:rRNA from 1 species